rnacentral:hammerhead_ribozyme from 1 species
CCUCUGCUGCCGAGUCCCAAACAGGACGAAACAGCUGUCCAGUGC